UGUACCACAUUCCUAGCUCACUGGUAUUUUAAAUCCUCUGAGGACCUGAACGUGGUCUGCAGGAGUGCUCUGUGCUCUGUGGGGAGAACAGCUGUUCUGGGUGACUAUUAGGAGUACACUAGGGCUGUUCCCACUAAGAACAUCAGACUCCAGUGAGGCCCGGCGCCCUGAAUUACUGCCCUUCUGGACAUGUUCAGGAGGAGUCUGGAUUUGAAUAAGGAUGCCACCUACAGCCAUCCCAGCUCACACCCAUGGGCACUGAUCUUUGAGCUCCAAUGAGGGCUGAAAGAACAAACAUGCACCCUGUUCCAUUCUACCAAGCCUGACUGAUGCACACCCAAGCAGGGGGCCAAACUCAGCUUCCUGGUUUGGGGGAAGGAGCAAGGCCCAUUCACUGACGUGCAUGAAAAUACUGCCUUGACUGACACUCUCACUACCUAACGGAGAUGUGGGGAGAAACUGGCAGUUUU
rnacentral:lncRNA from 10 species